UUUCAACAACGGAUCUCUUGGUUCUGGCAUCGAUGAAGAACGCAGCGAAAUGCGAUACGUAGUGUGAAUUGCAGAAUUCAGUGAAUCAUCGAAUCUUUGAACGCACAUUGCGCCCGCUAGUAUUCUGGCGGGCAUGCCUGUUCGAGCGUCAUUUCAACC
rnacentral:rRNA from 1 species